rnacentral:rRNA from 1 species
GUCUAUAUGAAGUUAUAUAAAGUCUGACCUGCCCGUUGAAAUUUUGAAAGGCCGCGGUAUUCUGACUGUGCAAAGGUAGCAUAAUAAUUAGCUUUUUAAUUGAGAGCUUGAAUGAAGGGUUGGACAAAGAAAAAUCUGUCUUUAAUAUUUUUAUUGAAUUUUACAUUUAAGUGAAAAGGCUUAAAUAUAUUUAAGGGACGAUAAGACCCUAUAAAUCUUUACAUUUAUUUGGUUUUAUGAUUUAGAUAAAAAUUAAUUGAAGCAGAAAAAUAUAUGUUAUACUGGGGUGGUAGAGAUACAAAGGUUUAGCUGUCUUUAGAGAAAACAAAUAUAUUUGAUAAAAAAAAUGAUCCUUUAUGAAGAUUAAAAGUUUAAGUUACUUUAGGGAUAACAGCGUAAUUUUUUUUGAGAGUUCAUAUCGAAAAAAGAGUUUACGACCUCGAUGUUGAAUUAAAAAUUUCUUUAUGUUGAAGGAGUUAUAAAGGAGAGUCUGUUCGACUUUUAAAAUUUU